AACGAACGCUGGCGGCAUGCCUAACACAUGCAAGUCGAACGGGACCUUCGGGUCUAGUGGCGUACGGGUGGGUAGCGGGUGGGGACCUGCGCUUAGACCCGGAAUAACUCCUCGGAAGGGGAUCUAAUACCGAAUAAUGUCUUCGUACCAAAGAUUAAUCGCGUUUGGAUGGGCGCGCGUUGCAUUAGUUAGUUGGAAGGAUAAAAGCCUACCAAGGCGACGAUCCAGAGCUGGUGGGAGAGAAUGGUCAGCCACACUGGGAGUGAGACACGGCGCAGACUCUUGAGGGAGGCAGCAGUGGGGAAUAUUGGACAAUGGGGGGAAGCAUGAUGCAGUUAUGCCGCGUGAGUGAUGAUGGUCUGAGGGUUGUAAAGCUCUUUUACCCGGGAUGCUAAUGACAGUACCGGGAGAAUAAGCUCCGGCUAACUCCGUG
rnacentral:rRNA from 1 species